AACUUUCAACAACGGAUCUCUUGGUUCUGGCAUCGAUGAAGAACGCAGCGAAAUGCGAUAAGUAGUGUGAAUUGCAGAAUUCAGUGAAUCAUCGAAUCUUUGAACGCACAUUGCGCCCUCCGGUAUUCCGUUGGGCAUGCCUGUUCGAGCGUCAUUA
rnacentral:rRNA from 1 species